AAAUCUGGUGACCCAUGCCCAAUGCUCCCUCUAUCAAAACACACAACCCAACCUAUUCUCCAAUACACAUGCGCCAAAUCAGCCAGAGAAUACCAAAUCCCUAAACUCCACGAGCACUAUUCUUCGUCUCCGAAGAACACAAACAAGACCCAAAGUUCUGUCCAAAUCCAUGGCGAGUGAGCAUAAAUACCUAACCCACGCGUCCCUCUAUCUCUCCUCUUUCCGCUACUAACAGCUCAUGACGCCGAGAUUCCCUCUCCUAUUACUUCCUCAUUUUUAGACCUAUCUCACGGUUGGAAGCUUCUGGAGAUGAAAUGUUGGAUGAGCGUGAGGCGUUGAAUUUAUUUCCCAAAAUUCGAGGCCCAUAUUCAUCAAGGAUUGGUCUCCAAAAAAGGCUUUAUCCAAUUUUGUGAGGGGACUCAGCGAAAAAGAUUCAGAAAAAACAAGUGGAAAGCAUUCUAGAAUUUAUGGUUUUCUGAGUUUGUUUCUUUCUUCUGGAUUGAUUUCAUUAAAUAUUUAAGAGAAAGAUAUUUUUUUACUUUCUGAGUCCUGUUUUGAAUUCAAAAGAUAUGAAAAGAUGAAUUGAAUCUCGGGUUUGAUUAUCUGUUGUUGUUCUGCUGAGUUGUUGCUGGACCUCGAUAGGAUUUGGAGGCGAGAGUUGUAUUGUCGGGUUUAUAAUUGUAAUAAAAGAAGAUUUGCAACUUCAGGUUCCAUUUUCCUCUCUAUGUUUCAAUGCGACUCUUUUUUGCUCAGUGUUUUUUGAUCUAUCAGAUUUAAUCUAGUGUGGUUUGUUUGUGUUAUGAUCGAACUUUUUGCUAACUAGAUCUGUUUGCAAUGGUAGUAUGUGUUUGAGUAUUUGCAGUUAGUAGAAAUCGAUUUGAGUAGUCAUCUGGUUUGAAGUAUAUUUUGAAUCAAUGUGUCAUUACUUAAAAUGAACGAUUUGUUCAGUUUCUUUUGGUGAUCUUCUUUGCAAUACGCUAUAGUAUUCGUGAUUAUUUAAUAGAGCCAUAAGGUUCAAAAAGUUAAUUAAUAGUUCUAUAGAUGCUAUACUGGAAAUGUGUGGUCAACCUAGAAUGAUUUUCACUGUUAGCUUUGGUGUUGUUAUAGAGGAUUCAGCAUACAACUAAUCAAUGGUUGUGCUAAGGCUGACCUCAAAUAAAUUGGUUCUAAUAUCUUUAGAAUAGAGUUGCUGGAUGUCUUCUAUGUGCUGAUUGAUAAACUGUAGCAUUGCACUUGUUUAGUCGACUCUAUUUAAAAUAUUCUUUCAGUUUUGUCAUGGUUAUUAUGUGUGACAUGGUGCAUUAGUCAAGCUAGUGCAUAUUUUGAAGGGUUUUUGUCUAAUGUGAAUCCUACUAUGUUGUUCUAUGAAUCGGGAUCUUUGGUUGACGUCUCUACUAACUUGAUCUUAGUAUACUCUUUUAAGAGUUUUGAAAUGAAACCAUUUGAAGGUUUAACAAAUGUGAGGCCUAUUGGAUACCUUAACUGGAUGGACUGAUGUUUACGUGAAUCAACCAUUCUGAGUUAGUGUCUAAGCAUGAAUAUUAGCAUGUUUACUUGAAUCGACUUCUAGGCUAGCAUGGGAUCAUUCCGCUGAAAAUUUGCUUCGUUUGCACUGCCCAAACAGUCUAUUUGCACAACUUUGAGUGUAAAUUUCUGCAAUGUUAGCAGGCAGCAGCUCUGACGUAUUAGUAGUUCAUGUGUUUAUAUGAGUUUUUCUUGAUUUUGUGAUUGCUAAUCAGUCAGAGUAAAUCUGCAGAGGUGAGUUUGUUUUUGAUAGGUUCAUCGUUGGGUAGGAGUUUUCAGUGAAUUUUAUUUCGUCAAUUUGGGGUAUAACUGAUGCAUGUAAAUCAUACUGUUGUCCAAUGGCUCUUGUGUAGUAAUCAUUUCAUCGGGUAGUCCCAUUCGUUUCCCUGGAAUGUUUUGGAACAUGUUU
rnacentral:lncRNA from 1 species